UGUAGGUUAAGAGUGGCUGUCAACACUACAGUCGAUUAGUAGAUAUAACGAGCCCUACUGUUCUAAAUAUUAUAUCAUUCAGGUCGAAGCCCAAAAGUCGAAGCUUCAUGGGAGUCAUUGUAAAGUUGACUUGAUCAUCUCUGACUAUGCAGAUAAAUAAUUUACAAGUAAUUAAAGCAAUUAAGUAAAAUUUUUGCAAGUCAUCUCACAUCAGUUAAUUUUCAAGUGUUAAGAUUGUUUUAUGAUGAAAAAGGCAGUCGAAGACUAAACAGCCAGCCAGUUGAUAAGCUUGUUAUGUUGAAAUAAAUAUCUUAAAGCAUAUACAGUUUAUAAUAUGUAUAUUUUUGUUUUGGUGGUGUAUAUUUUACUAAGCGUACAAGCGGAGGAAGAAAUAUCAUAAUAAAAAUUUCAAAAAACCCGGGUUGAAUAAUACGAUCUGUUAUGAAUUAAUGUCGAAAUUUAAACUAAUGUUAAUUAAAUAGUUAUUGUUUAUGCCAAAAAACUGCUGAUAAGGCCCAGGUAUUAGUGAACACCGGGUUUAAAAUUAGCUGAGAAAAAAUGCCUGAUACUUAACCUCAAAAAUCAGAAAAUGAAGAAUGCGAAGCUUUAUAGGCGUCAAUUCUUGUCAAUUUAUAUGACGAUAUAGAAUUGAAUUAUAAUAAAGUUUUGCAGCUGCAUUGCAGUGAUAGAUACUUGACAGCUUACAUUGAAAUUACGACAAAUAUUAUUUAUAUAAAAAUAAGGCAAGAUUUUGUUACUUUUUUUCAUUACAAUGCCGAGUUGAUAAGACACGUUUUUUCUCAAUAAUAUUUAUGAGACGAGAUUGACAACUUUACUCGAGUAAGUGAAGGUCUCGCAAUUCGAUAUUUUCUUGAGUUCUUGUCACAGGCUGUACAGGUUUGUGCAACAUUGUAGCUACAAUUUGCCUGUUAGUGUACAGUCUAAAUCGAAAAUUAGCACUUUAUUACGUACUACCUCGCAGGUGAUUAAGUUAUGCAAAAAUUACGAAUCAUGUAUAACGUAAUAACGAGUUAUCUUAUCAUAUAAAUCUUUUCAAAAUUUAUUAAUGCAAUAUUUUACUUAUUAAUUUAUGCAAUCAAAUUGUCAAUUUUAAGAUAAUUCUAUUUACCCCUGUACGGAAUGAAAAGCGGGGUAUAAUUUGCCUACAACUAGUUACUUCACUUGUUCUAUUCUAUGAUUCUCGUAAUCUAACUCUCCCGAAUGUUUUUUAUCAUUCCAAAUAUACGGAAAAAAAUGAUGUUCAAAAUUUUAAUCGUAGUUUAUUUUUGACUUAAAGUUUGUAUAUUCGAUACUAAUAUCAAAACAGGAUCACUAUAUAUAUUACAAAAUGGUUAUUAUUUAUAUUAAAAUUUGAUGCACAGAAGAGCAAAAUUUGUAAUUUCGUAUAUUAAAAUUAAUAUGAAAAAGAAUUGAUAAAUUGCUAUCUAGUUAUUACUAUUCAAAUAAACAGAAAAAUUU